GAAAGAAACAUUGGUUGCCUUGGACACGCAAUGGAAUCUCACAUGACUUCUGUCUCCUGCUACAAAACAUAUCAGGAAAUGCAGGAGUAGAGUCAUGAAGAUGUGGAUGGACCUGCACGCACUUUUUUCGACCGGACCAGGAGCCCUUGCAUGGGGGGCCACCCCUGAGACAUCAGCGAGGCCCCGCAGCCCUGGGAAGUUGAGCAUGUGAGCUUCCCCAGGUCAUUAGGGAGAGGCUUGAAAAGACUGUCACCAGGAAAGAGAUAAGCUGCGAGGGGCGCAGUAAUAAGGCUCUGAAUAAUGGCCCCUCUGUGGAGAACCACUGAGGACACAGACCCAGGGAUUAAAGGGAGACUGAAAAGGAGAAAGUCAAUGGACCUCCACAAAAAUAUGAACCAGAGCAGUGCUGAAUAGUGGGGGGAGUUAUCAGCAUUCUGAGGAGUUCCUUCACUGGGCCCCAUCAAGCUCAAGGAGAAGGGAGGUGUUCUGUAUUAGAAGUCUCUUCUGGGAUGAGACUAGUGAUUUUCAAACAGGAUUUUUCUGCUGUGUUUGCCUGUUGCAUUAAUUUCACAUGCACUUGCUGACCCUGCAGAAAAUCCAGAAAGUCAUGCUGCUGUGCGGCAUCUUUUCUCCUGCCCUUGCAUUGUGUUAUUUCUGCAAAAGAACAGUCUGUGUGUGCUUUGUGUGCAUUGUACAGACUCUGUGUGUGUGUGUGGUUGUGAGUACAGUACCUGCUCUAUGCUUCUUCCUGUUUUUUGUCCAAGUCUCAACACUGUGCAUGGAGUUUGUCCUUUUUGUCAGUUUAGUGGGCUGAAUCUGACUCAUCGUCUCUGGAGACAAAAUGUCCAAGUCCUGAAAAGAGGCAGUUCUUUGCUUUUACUGCAUUCAGACCUCCAAGUAAUUCUGCAACAGUAGCAACCCUUGUUUUUGUGUCAUCUGGAUUGACAGAUUUCGCAAAGGUGCAACAUUUUUUAAAUAAAUUUUAAUUUAAACAUGUAUUUUUGGUGAACUACAUAAUAGUCUAUACAGAUAAAUAUCUAUUUACUUGUUUCAAGCAAUUAUUUAUAAAAACUGGAUGAUGAUAUUUGCCAAAAUUCCACAUAAAUGUACAUAGUUUUACAGUUA